CCUACGGGUGGCAGCAGUGAGGAAUAUUGGUCAAUGGACGGAAGUCUGAACCAGCCAUGCCGCGUGCAGGAUGACGGCCCUAUGAGUUGUAAACUGCUUUUGUACGAGAAUAAUAGUUCUUACGUGUAGGGGUUUGGAUGUAACGUACGAAUAAGGAUCGGCUAAAUCCGUGCCAGCAGCCACGGUAAUACGGAGGAUUCGAGCGUUUUCCGGGUUUAUUGGGUUUAAAGGGGGCGUAGGGUGUCGUUUAAGUUAGAGGUCAAAUGUCGGGGCUUAACCCCGUGCCUGCCUCUGAUACUGUUCGACUAGAGAGCGGAUGCAGCAGGCGGAAUGAGUAGUGUAGCGGUGAAAUGCUUAGAUAUUACGCAGAACACCGAUUGCGCAGGCAGCUUGCUAAUCCGCAUCUGACGCUGAGGCACGAAAGCGUGGGUAGCGAACAGGAUUAGAUACCCCAGUAGUC
rnacentral:rRNA from 1 species